rnacentral:lncRNA from 1 species
ACUCCAUUUUUGAUAUUGGAAGAUACAAACACCACAGUUGUAUCAUAAAAAUCUUACUCCUAUAAAAUUAUUAUCCUAUAAAAAACUAAAAAUUUAAGAAAAUAUACUUAGUCUGGAAUCUCCAAAUACUAUUUAUCGUUUUAAUUUGUUAUUAUAGUUUGGUUUAUGUUUGACAUUUUUUAAUAUAUACAUUGUCUUGUUAUAGUAAAUAAUAAAUAUGGUUCCUACAGUUAGACGAUAUAUAUUUCGCUAAUAACUCCACCCUAAGAAUCUCCAUUAACCAUGUUCUAAUAAACUUACAGUAAGGAAAUACACUUUUACAUAUAGUACGUGGUUUCAAUGUCAACAAAGUCUGCACAAUCUUUUAAUUAUGAUCAAAUCCUUCUGUUCGUGUAUUUCUCUAAUUAUCAUUCGUAUUUAUGAUUAGAUAUGACGACAACAUGGCUGUUUUGUUUGUUCAGAGCUGGAUCUUCUACCUCGUGUCUAGCUCAUUGAUCGAAUCCUUAUGGGCCAAAGAGAAGAAUGUAUAACCAAAACAGGAUUCGAUCUAGCUUUCGGUGAUAAUAUUUGCAUAUCUAUCAACUAUAUAUGUAAUUAUUUAGUGAUUUAUUAUUCUGUUAUUAACUGUCCCCUACCACCAACUUGCCUAAAGACAAAUAUUCUUUGUCUAUACACACUCAUGCUUGAUUCUGCUCUCACCCUCUC